GAUGAACGCUGGCGGCGUGCCUAAAACAUGCAAGUCGAGUGCACUUCGGGUGCACGGCGAACGGGUGAGUAAUACAUUGGAAUCUGUCCUAUACACACGGAUAACGUACCGAAAGGUACGCUAAUACGGGAUAAAGUUGUUGGAUGGCAUCUUCUAACAAUCAAAGCUCCGGCGGUAUAGGAUGGACCCGCGUCUGAUUAGCUAGUUGGUGAGGUAAUGGCUCACCAAGGCGACGAUCAGUAGCCGACCUGAGAGGGUGAUCGGCCACACUGGAACUGGGACACGGUCCAGACUCCUACGGGAGGCAGCAGUGGGGAAUAUUGCACAAUGGGCGAAAGCUUGAUGCAGCAACGCCGCGUGAGCGAUGAAGGUCUUCGGAUCGUAAAGCUCUGUCCUCAAGGAAGAUAAUGACGGUACUUGAGGAGGAAGCCCCGGCUAACUACGUGCCAGCAGCCGCGGUAA
rnacentral:rRNA from 1 species